rnacentral:rRNA from 1 species
GCUUAGCCCUAAACCCAAGUAGUUAAACAACAAAACUACUCGCCAGGAAACUACUAGCAAAUGCUUAAAACUCAAAGGACUUGGCGGUGCCCUAAACCCAUCUAGAGGAGCCUGUUCUAUAAUCGAUAAACCCCGAUAAACCUCACCCCUUUUUGCUAAUACAGCCUAUAUACCGCCAUCGUCAGCUAACCUCAAAAGAGAAACACAGUAAGCAAAAUUAUUCUCCAUAAAAACGUUAGGUCAAGGUGUAGCAUAUAAAGGGGAAAGAAAUGGGCUACAUUUUCUAUAUUAGAACAUACGAAUUACCCUAUGAAACUUCAGGUAUGAAGGUGGAUUUAGUAGUAAAUUAAGAAUAGAGAGCUUAAUUGAAAUAGGCAAUAGGGCGCGC